rnacentral:pre_miRNA from 1 species
GGCACAGGUUUUAGGUACAAUGGAUAAGUAGGGUCAGCUGAUGCUACUUGUCUACCCUACUUCAAAUUCGUGCCC